GGCUACCUGGCUGAUUCUUGAGUACACGAGGCAUAACUUCAUCCCUGAAGACUCAAGAGUGAUAUUGUCAUCAUAUGGAGGGGAAAUCCAUGUAUUGCUGAAGGAAGAAAAUCCUGAAAAUGAUCCUCUCUGGUGCUGGCUAGAGAAAGGGAGCAUCAAAGAAGGCCAAAAUCGCCCAGACCCAUCUCCAGUGUCUAAUCUACAGAAUGGAAACCUUAAUCUACAGGCACAAGGGAAAGAAAAUCUGUAGCCUGAGGGCAUUGGUAGAAACCCAGAAUAGCUGCUAGAGAGAGCUCUCGGUCAACACCAAAACACUGUCAGAUCCCUCGCCCAUAUUACUCCUAUGUGGGUUGUCAGAUGAGAUUCAUGACAACCAGUACAAAACAAAGCAAGACGGGACCAGCACACAGGGUCAGGCCGUGCAGAGCAGUUAUAGCAACAUCUAAACUUCUGUGCCACUAACUUUAGUGUGUGGUCCAAGUUGCCUGCUGGAAUUCUAACAUUUAAGAUCACAACAUAGCAGGAAGAAGAGGAAGUGUGAGAAGAGCAAAUGAGAGUAACCACCAGCCAAGUCAGUUUUAUUUCGACAGUCUUUCCAGAAGCCCAGCCAACAUCUUUGACUUAUAUUUAACUGAUCACCUGUGACUGCCGCAAGAAUUAGAAAUAACAUUCUUUAGCUGUAUCCCUUGCUACACAGAAUAAAACUGAAGUUUAUCACUAAAGAAGAAAAGGAGGCACUAGAGCACACUGCGGUUCUGCCGUAUCUGCAUAUACUUCAUGAAUGACUUAAUGACAUUCUUUUAAUCUUUGGAGUGUUACACCUUCAUAAGUAUAAAUUUAUUAAAAAAUUGAGCAGAU